CUUGCUCCUUGAUUCAGCGGCGGACGGGUGAGUAAUGCCUAGGAAUCUGCCUGGUAGUGGGGGACAACGUUUCGAAAGGAACGCUAAUACCGCAUACGUCCUACGGGAGAAAGCAGGGGACCUUCGGGCCUUGCGCUAUCAGAUGAGCCUAGGUCGGAUUAGCUAGUUGGUGAGGUAAUGGCUCACCAAGGCGACGAUCCGUAACUGGUCUGAGAGGAUGAUCAGUCACACUGGAACUGAGACACGGUCCAGACUCCUACGGGAGGCAGCAGUGGGGAAUAUUGGACAAUGGGCGAAAGCCUGAUCCAGCCAUGCCGCGUGUGUGAAGAAGGUCUUCGGAUUGUAAAGCACUUUAAGUUGGGAGGAAGGGCAUUAACCUAAUACGUUAGUGUUUUGACGUUACCGACAGAAUAAGCACCGGCUAACUCUGUGCCAGCAGCCGCGGUAAUACAGAGGGUGCAAGCGUUAAUCGGAAUUACUGGGCGUAAAGCGCGCGUAGGUGGUUUGUUAAGUUGGAUGUGAAAGCCCCGGGCUCAACCUGGGAACUGCAUCCAAAACUGGCAAGCUAGAGUACGGUAGAGGGUGGUGGAAUUUCCUGUGUAGCGGUGAAAUGCGUAGAUAUAGGAAGGAACACCAGUGGCGAAGGCGACCACCUGGACUGAUACUGACACUGAGGUGCGAAAGCGUGGGGAGCAAACAGGAUUAGAUACCCUGGUAGUCCACGCCGUAAACGAUGUCAACUAGCCGUUGGAAUCCUUGAGAUUUUAGUGGCGCAGCUAACGCAUUAAGUUGACCGCCUGGGGAGUACGGCCGCAAGGUUAAAACUCAAAUGAAUUGACGGG
rnacentral:rRNA from 1 species